GAAAUGCGAUACGUAGUGUGAAUUGCAGAAUUUAGUGAACCAUCGAAUCUUUGAACGCACCUUGCGGCCGCCGGCAAUCCGGCGGCCAUGCCCGUCCGAGCGUCGUUUCGACCAUCGGGACUUUUCUCACUCUCUGCAUGCAGCGGGGUGGCGGUCCCGGCCUUGGGCCAGCGCGCACAGCCUCUAGGCCAGCGCGCGGCCCGCAGACCAGCGGCGGCAGCGCCCGCGACGUCCCCUGCGCAGUCGCUAAAGCUCGCAUUGGACUCCUGGCGCCGCCCGCCACGGGGCUCACGGCAGCCCCGGCAGCUACCAAGUAACAGGUCGACCUCGGAUCGGGUAGGGAUACCCGCUAAACUUAA
rnacentral:misc_RNA from 1 species